GUACAUCUCACUAUGGAACAGGUACAUCUCACUAUGGAACAGGUACAUCUGGAAUGCAACAGGUACAUCUUACUAUGGAACAGGUACAUCUCACUAUGGAACAGGUACAUCUGGAAUGGAACAGGUACAUCUGGAAUGGAACAGGU